CCCCAUAAAAUUCAUCUCUAUAUUUUCAACAGUUACAUUGUUAUAUAUCUCUGAAGGGUUCUUAUUUUAACCGUUAAAAUUCAAACAACAAAAGUAGCAACAGCUUGAACCGGCAUGGUUCGUACAACAAAGUAAAUCACACAACUUGUUUGUUCAAAGAAGGCCACAUCACCUAAUUAAACGUGAUUUAAUUAUUUGGCUUAAAGAAGGCCUAGCACAUCCCAGACCAAUUGCAAAUGUAGCAAUCAGCUUGAACAGGUAUUUCAUCGAACAACUAAAGUGCAUGCAGUAGUAGCUCUGACCACGAGCAGCACCAAGUAGCCAAGCAGAUAGCUAACACCACCGACUGACCACGAAGCAGCACCAAGCAGCCAAGCAGAGCUACCACCUCCGACACUAGCAAGCAAAUCACACCAAACAUCAAAUCAACACACCGUGGCAUAAAAAGGAGCUUAGAACAAACGCCAGAAUCGGACCUGCUAGGCAGGCCAUGACCAGGGAUGACGUGCGGCGACGGAGCAGCAAGGCCCGAGGCCGAAGAUGGCCGGCGCUCACCUGCCCUUUUGACAACACGCGAACGGCGGGGUGCGGCUGUGAGCGCUUCUCACCGCUGCCGUGCUGGUGCGUGGGAGGAUGCCAGCAGGGCCGGAAUCACGCAGAUGGGCGACAGUGCGCGGGAGGGCAGAAAUGGGGCUGAGCACCCGCGGAUCGGUUCGGCACGCUGAACGGUAGAAGACGGAUGAGACGGCGAUGGAGCUCUCGAAGAUGAGUAAUAGGCUACCCUCCAUGGACCUCUUUGCGUUGUGCGUUUGAGGAGCGCAAGUGAGUCGAGGGAUGGCCCCUGCAUCUGGUCCUCUGUCCUCCGUCGAGAGAUGGCGAUGGUGUAGAUUGAUGUUGAGUAGUUGACGUCUACUUCGGUGAUACGGGGAUUUGAUUACGUUAGGACGUGAGGU
rnacentral:lncRNA from 1 species